UACGUAGGGUGCGAGCGUUAAUCGGAAUUACUGGGCGUAAAGCGUGCGCAGGCGGUUUUGUAAGCCAGAUGUGAAAUCCCCGGGCUCAACCUGGGAAUGGCAUUUGGGACUGCAAGGCUGGAGUGCGGCAGAGGAGACUGGAAUUCCUGGUGUAGGCAGUGAAAUGCGUAGAUAUCAGGAGGAAUACCGAUGGCGAAGGCAGGUCUCUGGGCUGACACUGACGCUCAUGCACGAAAGCGGUGGGGAGCAAACAGG
rnacentral:rRNA from 1 species